rnacentral:rRNA from 1 species
CUAUAGAUGCAGUCGAGCGAACAGACGAAGUGCUUGCACUUCUGACGUUAGCGGCGAACGGGUGAGUAACACGUAAGGAAUCUACCUAUAAGCGGGGGAUAACAUUCGGAAACGGGUGCUAAUACCGCAUAAUAUCUUCUUCCGCAUGGAAGAAGAUUGAAAGACGGCUCUGCUGUCACUUAUAGAUGACCUUGCGGUGCAUUAGUUAGUUGGUGGGGUAAAGGCCUACCAAGACGAUGAUGCAUAGCCGACCUGAGAGGGUGAUCGGCCACAUUGGGACUGAGACACGGCCCAAACUCCUACGGGAGGCAGCAGUAGGGAAUCUUCCGCAAUGGGCGAAAGCCUGACGGAGCAAUGCCGCGUGAGUGAAGAAGGCCUUCGGGUCGUAAAACUCUGUUAUAAGAGAAGAACAAAUUGUAGAGUAACUGCUACAGUCUUGACGGUAUCUUAUCAGAAAGCCACGGCUAACUACGUGCCAGCAGCCGCGGUAAUACGUAGGUGGCAAGCGUUGUCCGGAUUUAUUGGGCGUAAAGGGAGCGCAGGUGGUUUCUUAAGUCUGAUGUGAAAGCCCACGGCUUAACCGUGGAGGGUCAUUGGAAACUGGGAAACUUGAGUACAGAAGAGGAAUGUGGAACUCCAUGUGUAGCGGUGGAAUGCGUAGAUAUAUGGAAGAACACCAGUGGCGAAGGCGACAUUCUGGUCUGUUACUGACACUGAGGCUCGAAAGCGUGGGGAGCGAACAGGAUUAGAUACCCUGGUAGUCCACGCCGUAAACGAUGAGUGCUA